AGCAGCCGCGGUAAUUCCAGCUCCAAUAGCGUAUAUUAAAGUUGUUGCAGUUAAAAAGCUCGUAGUUGAAUUUCGGGAUCAAAUUGUCGGUCGUGCCUCGGUACGUACUGGCGUUAUUGGUUCCCCCCUUCUGAAGAACCGCGAUGUCAUUAAUUUGGUGUCGCGGGAAUCAGGACUGUUACUUUGAAAAAAUUAGAGUGUUUAAAGCAGGCUCGCGCUUGAAUACAUUAGCAUGGAAUAAUGAAAUAGGACGUUUGAUUCUAUUUUGCUGGUUUCUAGGAUCGACGUAAUGAUUAAUAGGGAUAGUCGGGGGCAUUAGUAUUCAAUUGUCAGAGGUGAAAUUCUUGGAUUUAUUGAAGACUAACUACUGCGAAAGCAUUUGCCAGGAUGUUUUCAUUAAUCAAGAACGAAAGUUAGGGAUCGAAGACGAUCAGAUACCGUCGUAGUCUUAACCAUAAACUAUGACCGACUAGGGACUCGGGAUGGAUGUUUAAUUUUUAAUGUACUCAGUUCGGACGCC
rnacentral:rRNA from 1 species